UAUUGGGCAAUGGGCGCAAGCCUGACCCAGCAACGCCGCGUGAAGGAAGAAGGCCCUCGGGUUGUAAACUUCUUUUAUCAAGGACGAAACAAAUGACGGUACUUGACGAAUAAGCCACGGCUAACUACGUGCCAGCAGCCGCGGUAAUACGUAGGUGGCAAGCGUUAUCCGGAUUUACUGGGUGUAAAGGGCGUGUAGGCGGGACUGCAAGUCAGAUGUGAAAACCAUGGGCUCAACCCAUGGCCUGCAUUUGAAACUGUAGUUCUUGAGUGUUGGAGAGGCAGGCGGAAUUCCGUGUGUAGCGGUGAAAUGCGUAGAUAUCAGGAGGAACACCGGUGGCGAAGGCGGCCUGCUGGACUGCGACUGACGUUGAGGCCCGAAAGCGUGGGGAGCAAACAGG
rnacentral:rRNA from 1 species